CAUUUCUGAUGAGGCUUCACUGAGCAGCAUAUGAAUCAACUGAAGGGUCAGACACAUCGCUCAGGCCCCUCAAGCUUCACCUUCAUCGAAGUCAAGAAAAGUUGGUCUGGUAGUUGAGGAUACCUGUUCCAGCCAAUCGCUACUCAUCGUUACAGCACUGCUGACCCGUGGUAGAAGAUGACCACCACAUCAUGAUUGCUGUGCUGGUCACUUGGCAACGACCCCGAGGCAAUAAUGGAGAGGUUACAAAAUAAAGGACAAUUUCCACGUCAUGGACACUGUGAUGAACUACAUUAACUGAUUCCAUGGCAAAGUAAACUGAGUUAUCCUGUGGCCAGAUUUUCCACUCACACAAUA